UACGGGGGGGGCAAGCGUUGUUCGGAAUUACUGGGCGUAAAGGGCUCGUAGGCGGCCAACUAAGUCAGACGUGAAAUCCCUCGGCUUAACCGGGGAACAGCGCUUGAGACUGGCACGCUCGAGUUCGGGAGAGGAUGGUGGAAUUCCCAGUGUAGAGGUGAAAUUCGUAGAUAUUGGGAAGAACACCGAUGGCGAAGGCAGCCAUCUGGACCGACACUGACGCUGAGGCGCGAAAGCGUGGGGAGCAAACAGG
rnacentral:rRNA from 1 species